CUAAAGGAGAAAAUACUGGAUUUUGAUUCCCUUGAUGUCAACGAGGACAACUACAAUGAAGAACACUUCCUCUGAGGGAAAUCAUGUCACGAGCAGCCCUAUGGAGAAUCCAAGCAGCAAGGAGCUGAAGCCUUCUGCCAACCACUGGGUUGGAAGACUGAAUGUGCCCACAACCUAACUUUGACCAUGAGGAUGAAGAGAUCACCUCAGGGAAUAGUGAAGCAAUAAUAAAUGGAAGGAAGGUG